rnacentral:rRNA from 1 species
AUUGAACGCUGGCGGCAUGCCUUACACAUGCAAGUCGAACGGUAACAGGUCUUCGGAUGCUGACGAGUGGCGAACGGGUGAGUAAUACAUCGGAACGUGCCUAGUAGUGGGGGAUAACUACUCGAAAGAGUGGCUAAUACCGCAUGAGAUCUACGGAUGAAAGCAGGGGAUCGCAAGACCUUGUGCUACUAGAGCGGCCGAUGGCAGAUUAGGUAGUUGGUGGGAUAAAAGCUUACCAAGCCGACGAUCUGUAGCUGGUCUGAGAGGACGAUCAGCCACACGGGGACUGAGACACGGCCCAGACUCCGGCGGGAGGCAGCAGGGGGGAAUUUUGGACAAUGGGCGAAGGCCUGAUCCGGCAAUGCCGCGUGCAGGAUGAAGGCCUUCGGGUUGUAAACUGCUUUUGUACGGAACGAAAAGCCCCGGGUUAAUACCCUGGGGUCAUGACGGUACCGUAAGAAUAAGCACCGGCUAACUACGUGCCAGCAGCCGCCGUAA